UCGCGGGGUAGAGCAGCCUGGUAGCUCGUCGGGCUCAUAACCCGGAGGUCGUUGGUUCAAAUCCAGCCCCCGCAAU
rnacentral:tRNA from 2 species